CGUCCUACCUGCUUCAGGGCCCUCUACUUCUUCCCCCAAGAUUGCCAUUAUGAUUAACAAAUCUGACGAGAGCAAUUUAAUUGGUGACACAUCAUAUUUAUUCUGCAACUGCAUGUGAAUUCUCAUCUUGCGCCUACCUCUUUUGCUUACCAGUGAAGAUGGAGAGCUUUAGGCAAAAAAAGAAAAAAAAACUAGCACGUGAUCUAUGGAGAAUAAUUUUGACAGCAACUCCAACUAUGCAAUGGAGUACACUUGAUGCAAUCAAUUCUGGUGUGUGUGUGUGUGUGAUGCAAUGACGUGUGAAUAACAACAGAAAAAUAUGCCUGAGGAGUAUGGGUAUGUAGUAACAUUUCUCUGUUAUUUUCGGAACAACUUGGAAUAUCUUAUUGGUAGUUUAUAUACAAAGUCAUUUUGAUAAUUAUCAUGCUGCAAACCUACAUAGUUUUCUAUAUUAAUCAUGUCAUGUUAAAAUAUAAAAGUUAUAGCUUCAAUAAAUUGAUAAAAUACAGAUUUGGGCUUUACAUAUUUAUUGAAUAUAUAUUUACAUAUGAAUACGUCGUUACAGUCGGACUCUAGCGAGCAGCAGUGG